rnacentral:rRNA from 1 species
UACGUAGGGUGCAAGCAUUAAUCGGAAUUAUUGGGCGUAAAGGGCGCGUAGGCGGAUGGAUAAGUCAGAUGUGAAAUACCAAAGCUCAACUUUGGUGCUGCAUUUGAAACUGUUUAUCUAGAGGAUUGACGGAGAAAGCGGAAUUCCACGAGUAGCGGUGAAAUGCGUAGAUACGUGGAGGAACACCGGUGGCGAAAGCGGCUUUCUAGUUUUUACCUGACGCUGAGGCGCGAGAGCAAGGGGAGCAAACAGG